rnacentral:lncRNA from 1 species
GAAGCCGCGCGCUUCCCUCCCCAUGUGCCACGGCCCAGGGCGGCAGGCCCGGCUGAGGGCGACCCCGGUGGAGAAAGAACCCCGACCCUCCCGCCUCCCGGCUCCCGCCUUGUCCUCCGCUCCCACGCCCCACCCGGCCCUUAGGGGAGGCGCGGCGCGGCCCGGGCAUGGAGCGUCCCGGGCCCCUGGAGGCUCAGUGGAGGGUUGGGCUCCAGGGAGCUCAGAGCUCUCUCGUUCAGGGACCCGAGAGUGACACGCGUGGCAUCUCUUUGCAACCCACGUCCGCGCCGCAGCACCCUCCCCUGCAGGUGCCUGCCCAGCCCCGGGAUGCCCCUGACCUCCCCUUGGACAGACUGCAGAAAGCGCGGGGCGCUGCGUCCUCUCCACCUCUCUCUGACCCCAGACACAUUGGGAGAGAGCGGUAGGUGGCGGGGCGCUGGGGUGGGACGCUGGGGGCAGGCGCGCAGCCCACCGCCUCCCUGAGAGGCCGCUGAGGACAGCGGGGAGCUGAGGGUGGUCCCCUGGUGGGGGAUCAGGAGGUGGACCUCGCCACCUGGCUGCCUGUGGCCCUCUCCUUUGCCCCAACCCUGACUGCCUCUCAGGAACAACCACAGGUCAGCAAGGUGGCUGAAUAUUGAGGGUCAGUCCCGCUGUGGCUACGGGCAGAGGGCAGGCUGUGUCCAUGCUCAGCCCUGACUCUGGCCCUCUGGGACACCUUGGUGGGUCUGAGACGUUGCUGCAGGCCGUGGGGCAGAAGCCAGGAGGAGUGUCCACGCAGCCUCAGCCCGUGGGAAUCCAGCCUGCCUCCAUUACUGCCGUCACCGGCUCCACCUUCGGAGAACAUCUCAGCAUCCAGCCUCCUUCCUCUGCCUCCUCUCAGGCCUCUGCCGUUCCCAUGCAGGGCAGGCCAAACUGUUUUCACAGCAUGGAAAGUUAUGUGAGGGAAGCCACACCGGCCGCAGAUACAGGCACCAGCACAUCCACUCGCAUGCACACUCACGGCUGUGGCCCGCGGCAGAUGGAGGCCCGCUCUGCCUUGUCUGUCCCUCAGUAGUGUGCGAUGACAGCACACCUGUGGGGGCCCUGCAGCUGGGAAGACUGCAGCGAGGCUCAACUCAGAGGCCCCUGCUCAGGAGCAUGGCUGAGUCACACCCCAGGGAGAAGGUGCCCCGGACAGGUGUGGCCAGCACGUCUUGCCAAGACCCCACCACCCCACCCACCCGCAUCUGUGGCCUUCUGGAACCGAGCUGUGGCCUGGGGUUCCAUGGAGCAGGUGGGGCGCGGAGGAACUGAGCUGUGGCCUGGGGUUCCGUGGAGCAGGUUGAGUAUGGAGGAACUGGGGUUCCGUGGAGCAGGUGGGGCGCAGAGGAACCGAGCUGUGGAAUGGGGUUCCGUGGAGCAGGUUGAGUGUGCCGGUCGUGGACGGGUCGUGGGCGGGACUCCCCAGUGUGUCACCACUGAGGCAUCUUCGCCCUCUUACGUGUCUCUGUUUCUCUCUCUAGAAGUCCAACACCUCCGAGAGGACUCAAAACACAGAGUGACCAGCUCCUAUGUGCAUUUCCUGG